CUUUUUCGGAGCACAAACCCACACAUGCAUCGACACGAUGGCCUGGGUGCCCGCAAGGGUUGGUCAUUGGGAUGCGUGGAGGCCUAAC
rnacentral:sRNA from 18 species